AUGAGUGGUUUUUUGUCCAGGGGACGGCACUCUGCCGCAGAGGACCGGGCCGGGCCCAGGAGCAGCGGACCAGCGAUGGAUUUGUCCUUCGAUGACAAAGAGAAGGUCCCACUUCAGAUGCACAGCCUCCGAGAGUUCGAACAGCACCUGAAUGACCUGAAGAGGGAGAACUUCAGCCUGAAGCUCCGGAUCUAUUUCCUGGAGGAGAAGAUCCAGCAGAAGUUUGAGGAGAGCAGCGAUGACGUGCACAAGAGGGGUGAGUGAGCUCCUGACAUGCUGCGGCUCGGCCCGUUUGGGUUGGACCUUGUUCUGAACCGAAAAAUAAGGAGAAUCGGUUUUGCACCCUGGUUUGUUGGGUUGUUUUGGAGCGCAGUAGUGGUAGCACUGGGUCCCGUUGGAUUUCACCUUCCAGCAGAAGCUCAUAGAAUCACUGUCUGAUGCUGAGGACCUGAAACCUGGUGAAAGUCAGUGAGCUGCAUGGAGCCAACUCCA
rnacentral:lncRNA from 1 species